CAUAUUCAGUUAAAAUCCCAUUUCAAAUUUCAAAAUUCGAUCCUUUGAUCUUAUCAAAGACAUAAAUUCAUAAAUACCUUUCUAUAUAUAAUAUUAUAAUUCCCCUUCUAAUACUAUUCAGAUUCAGGAAAUUUACUGAUAAAAUCUCCUGAUAACAUGGAAGGGAAGAUGAUUUAUGAAUUUGUAGAGUUUCAAGAAAACUAAUAUACUGUGGGAAGCCUUGGAGAAUAUAGAGAGCAUUAUGCGAAGAUAAUCUAGAGUGGCAUAAAUAACCAGGUCAUCAGCAAAUUGAAGAUUUUUAACUUC